rnacentral:rRNA from 1 species
GAUGAACGCUGGCGGCGUGCUUAACACAUGCAAGUCGAACGGACAGACCCUGCUUUUGUGGGUUUCUCGAUUGGCGAACGCGUGAGUAACACGUGAGUAUCCUGCCCCUGUCUUUGUGAUAUCUUCAGGAAACUGCGGCUCAUACCGGAUAGGAGCUCCUGCAGCACGUGGGGGGUUGGAAAGUGUCGGCGUUUGGGGAUAGUCUCGCUGCUUAUCAGCUUCUUGGUGGAGUAGGGGCUUACCAAGCCUUCGACGGCUAGCCGGCCUGAGAGCGUGACCGGGCACAUUGGGACUGAGAGAGGGCGCAGACUCCUACGGGAGGCAGUAGUGGGGAAUCUUGCAGAGUGGGCCGAAGUCUGAUGCAGCAGCGCUGCGAGCGGAAUGCCGGCCUUCGGGUUAUAAACCGAUUUCGCCUGUGACAAAGCCUGAGUGACGGUACUGGGUCAAGAAGCACCGGCUAACUACGUG